rnacentral:lncRNA from 1 species
UUGGAAGCUGUAUAUUGAAGACAUUGAAGCCAAAAGGUGGAAGGAAUCUGAGUUCCUGAGUCAUCACUGAGAAUAAAGCCAUCACCAAUCAGGGUUACCUGUAUGGACAAUACUUGAAUGAAAAGCUUUUGUUCUAUUUGAGCUUUUAUAUUUUUUAUGUAUUUGAGCUUAUUUGUCACAAUGGCUAGCAUUACCUCAAUUAAUAUAAUACUCAUUCUUUUUAAUUUUAUUUAAAAAAUUAUUGGGGUAUAGUUGAUUUACAAUGUUGUAUUAGCAUUAGGUUUACAGCAAAGUGAAUCAGUUAGACAUCUACACAUAUCUAUUCUUUUUUUCCAUAUAAGUUAUUACAGAACAUUGAGUAAACCUCCCUGUGCUGUACAGCCGGUCCUUAAUACUCAUUUUGUGUGUGUGUGUGUGUGUGUGCAUGUGGAAUUAAUAGAUGCACACAGAGAAACAGAUAUCUAGGUACAGAUUGUAUCAUUAGAUAUGUGGAGGCCAUAUGAUGCCAAUCUUCAAGGUAUGAAAAGAUAAAUGAUUCCAUGGGUAGGAGUGAGUUGGUAUACCAGCAAUCUAAAAUUCCCUUGCAGCCAUGAGACACAUCCCUCAGACUGAAGUUAACAGAAGCUUGAUCUCCCUUUGCAGCUAUAAAUCUAUAAAUACCCUCUCUUCUUUAAGACACCUAUCGUUCCCAGCUGCUAUAGACUGAAUGUUUGUGUUCCUCCCAAAUCCAUUUGUUGGAAUCCCCAAUGUGUUGAUAUUGGGAGAUGGGGCCUUUGGGUGGUGACAAGGUCACGAGGGCUUCACCCUUACUAUAGUACUUUAACAUGAGAACUUGAUAUCUGUGGGGUUAAUGCCCCUACAAAUCAGGCUGCAGAGAGUUCCUUCAUGCUCUCUUCCACUUGAGGAGAUGGCUGUCUAUGAACUAUGAAGUGAGACUUCAUCAGACAUGCUUAGCUGUUGGUGUCUGUAUCUUGGACUUCACCGCCCCAAGAACUGUGAGAAAUAAAUUUCUGUUGUUUAUAAGGCUCUCAUUCUCUGGUAUUUUGUUACAGCAGCCUAAACAUACAAGAACGAGUGCUCUCUAUUCAAACACCAUCCUCCCUUCCUGUGCCAUUUUACCAGAAGAAGAAAUAUGGACACAGGCAUAUCCAGAAGGAAGAGCAUAUGAAGACAGGGGAGAUAACUGUCUAUGAGCCAAAGAGAGAGCCUUCAAAAGAAACCAAUCUGGCCAUCACUUUACUUUCAGUGGAUAAACAUGGAAGUGCUUUAAAACAAUGCUUAAGAGGUUGACGGAACAGGUGAAGACAUAUUAUUGCCAAAAGAGCAUUAAGGGCUGAGCUGGCCUAGGUUUCCCUUGUCUGGGCCGUGGAUGUCCCCUGCUGGAAACCAGAGCUCACUGCAGCUGAGGGAAUUGGAGCUGCGUGACAGCAGUAGGUCUAUGUGAAGACGCUCUUGCUCUCUGCCUACACAGAGCUCAACAGGAGACCACUCGGAAGAUUCACUCUCUUGUCCUCAUUUUACAAGCUUGUCCUCAUUUACCAGUUUCAUCAGCUACAUUAAUAAUAAUCACUAUUUAUCAAGUGUUUUGCAUAGGCUCCAAGGCAUGAUAAAUUCACAAUAAAUAUUUAUUGAGAAAAAA